rnacentral:lncRNA from 1 species
AUUCUUAGAUUUGAAACUACCCUUAAUUUAUUUUCCUAAUUGAUAAGCAUCACACACAUUAUCUUUGAUGAACUUGAUAUGAGGAAUUCCUCUUACAAGUUCUUUGGAUGAUAUUUGAGUGAUUAGUUUCAUGCUAGCAUGACCUAAUCUCCUAUGCCAAAGCCAAGCAUCCUCAUUCAAAACCGAGAAACACAUUUCAUUGCAAAGAUCAUUGAUG